UCUGGUUGAUCCUGCCAGUAGUCAUAUGCUUGUCUUAAAGAUUAAGCCAUGCAUGUCUAAGUAUAAACACUUGUACUUGUGAAACUGCGAAUGGCUCAUUAAAUCAGUUAUAAUUUAUUUGAUGGUCUCUUUACUACUUGGAUAACCGUGGUAAAUCUAGAGCUAAUACAUGCAUAAAAUCCUGACUAGUGCGCUUUAUAGUACUGGGAGGGAUGUAUUUAUUAGAUUCAAAAGCCAAUGCCAUCUUCUUCGGGGGGUGGAAAUUUUUUCAAUGGUGAUUCAUGAUAACUUUACGAAUCGCACGGCCUUUUGUGCUGGCGAUAGUUCAUUCAAAUAUCUGCCCUAUCAACUUUCGAUGGUAGUAUAGAGGACUACCACGGUGGUAACGGGUAACGGAGAAUCAGGGUUUGACUCCGGAGAAGGAGCCUGAGAAACGGCUACUACUUCCAAGGAAGGCAGCAGGCGCGCAAAUUACCCAAUCCCGACACGGGGAGGUAGUGACAAAAAAUAACAAUACCGGUCUUAUUAAAGUCUGGUAAUUGGAAUGAGUACAAUCUAAACCUUUUAACGAGUAUCAAUUGGAGGGCAAGUCUGGUGCCAGCAGCCGCGGUAAUUCCAGCUCCAAUAGCAUAUAUUAAAGUUGUUGCAGUUAAAAAGCUCGUAGUUGGAUUUCGAAGUUAACAUAUCGCGACCCGCCUUUUUAGGGUGUGUUUGUUGUGGUAUGUUCUUCUCCUUACUAGACUUUCACUAUUGCACUUAAUUGAGUGAUAGUUUUGCUUCGAUUCGUCGGGGUGAGUGGUGGGCGGACCUAUUGGGUUAGGAUUGUGGAUGAUGCGCUUCUUCGGAGGAGUCGUGUUCUGCCUGAUUCAGUAACCGUUCAUUAGAAUUCUCGUUCUUUUACUUUGAGUAAAUUAGAGUGUUCAAGGCAAGCAAAAUUACUUUUUCUGCAAUGAAUACUAUUAGCAUGGGAUAAUGGAACAGGACACGUAUUCUAGUUUUUCGUUGGUUUCUAGAAUUUUUAUUAUUAGUGUAAUGAUUAAGAGGGACAGUUGGGGGCAUUCGUAUUUCAUUGUCAGAGGUGAAAUUCUUGGAUUUAUGAAAGACGAACUUCUGCGAAAGCAUUUGUCAAAGAUGUUUUCAUUAAUCAAGAACGAAAGUUAGGGGAUCGAAGACGAUCAGAUACCGUCGUAGUCUUAACCAUAAACUAUGCCGACCAGGGAUUGGAAGACGUCUUAUCCGGUUUUUUAAGCCGGAAAACUCCUUCAGCACCUUACGAGAAAUCAUAAGUCUUUGGGUUCUGGGGGGAGUAUGGUCGCAAGGCUGAAACUUAAAGGAAUUGACGGAAGGGCACCACCAGGAGUGGAGCCUGCGGCUUAAUUUGACCCAACACGGGAAAACUUACCAGGUCCAGACACAGUUAGGAUUGACAGAUUGAGAGCUCUUUCUUGAUUCUGUGGGUGGUGGUGCAUGGCCGUUCUUAGUUGGUGGAGUGAUUUGUCUGGUUAAUUCCGAUAACGAACGAGACCUCAGCCUGCUAAUUAGUGAUGCGAAUGAUUACAC
rnacentral:rRNA from 1 species